UACACACCGCCCGUCACACCAUGGGAGUUGACUUCACCAGAAGUCGCUUUUGCCAACCGCAAGGGGGCAGGCGCCAAAGGUGGGGUCGAUGACUGGGGUG
rnacentral:rRNA from 1 species